rnacentral:misc_RNA from 1 species
UGUAUACUCAUUAUUUCAAAGUUUUCCCCAUAUGCAUGACAUGUUGUUUGGUAUAGCUAAAAGAAUCAAAUCAUCCACCUUGAUGUUGAAGUUUUCAUUUGAUCAUUUGUAAAUUAAAAGUGUUCCACAAUUUUUGUCCAAGUGUUACCUCAAAAAUACUUACUCUGAUGAAGGAAAAUAAUAACACACAAUGUUCUUUUUCUUAUACAUUGUACAUGUAUAAAAUGUAUGUUGAUGUAAAUGACAACAAUAAAUCAGAUAUAAACAG